rnacentral:rRNA from 1 species
CCCCUAGAUGUUCUGGGCCGCACGCGCGCUACACUGAACAGUUCAACAAGUCUUAACCUUGGCCGAUAGGUCUGGGUAAUCUUUGAACGCUGUUCGUGAUUGGGAUAGACCUUUGCAAUUAUGGGUCUUCAACGAGGAAUUCCUAGUAAACGCAAGUCAUCAGCUUGCAUUGAUUACGUCCCUGCCCUUUGUACACACCGCCCGUCGCACCUACCGAUUGAAUGGUCCGGUGAAAUCUCGGGACGGCGGCUUGGUCGCUUGCGUCCGACUGCUGAAACUUGAUUAAACCAUNUNAUUUAUNGGAAGGGGAANUCGUANCA